CCAAGGAACACCGAAAACUUUUCACCACUUUUUUCAAUCGCUUCAAAAGGGCCCGAAAAAUGUCCGCUUCGACCGGAAAAUAUCACCAAACAACUGCCGAUCACUUCCGCUACCGAUGGCACAUAUUUUCGACCGGUUUCGUCGUUCGUCCGCUGCAAAGCUGACCAGAGCCGAGUGUUUAGCCAGCCACGAUCUUCUAGGGGUGGUCAUUCUGAAAUAUUCGUGUUAUACGAUAAGUCCAACAAACUUAAAGCAAUCGAAGGCGGUUCCUGACCAUCAUCACUCUGCAUAUCCUCAUCUGGAUCCAUUUCCUCCGACUCCUCCUCGUCGCUAUCGCUGAUAGGUUCAUUUACCUCCGAAUCUGAAUAGUCGUCGCUGUCUACCGCCCCCUGACGCACGC